UUCUGUCCGGUUUGGUUCUUCUCUUUGGUGAUUUGGCUUAUAUGACUGACAUGCAUCAUAAAGCUAGGUUACCAAAGCUAAGCGCCUGACGCCUUUUUGCCUAU
rnacentral:pre_miRNA from 1 species